UGUUCUUUGACUGAUGUCGACAAAAUGUGGACGAGCCUGUGAUUUUCAUUAUCGCGACUAAAUGUGCCUUUUCAUAUUGAUGUUAGACAUUUGCUGAAUGGCAAAUCUUAAUGAAUUACGAUAGGGAAGCUACGAGCAAAUGUGGAUGGUUGUAUUCACCAUAAUGGUAAACUCGUAGAACGAUAGAGCCAAAGAAAACAUGCAGUUCUUGUUCCUGUUGGACUUUUGUGUGGCUCUUGUUGCCCCUGAUUUUGAGGCUGUGCUGCACACCCAUUAUGCAAUGAGUGGUAGACAAAUCCGCUUUGGCGAAAUUCUACUCGGUGUGAGUAAUGUUAAAAGUAUUUAAAAAUCCCAUAGUCAAUGAUCAAAAA